rnacentral:rRNA from 1 species
AACGCACCUUGCGCUCCUUGGUAUUCCGAGGAGCAUGCCUGUUUGAGUGUCAUGAAAUCAUCAACCUUACUGUCUUUGUUGACGGUGUAGGCUUGGACUUGGGGACCUUGCCGGCCUUUCUGAGGUCGGCUUCCCUUGAAUGUAUUAGUGGUUGCUUCAUUCACUAGAGUGUGAUAGUAUAUCUACGCUUGUUACAGUGAACUUGAAUAUAAAUCAUCUGCUUUCCAACUGUCUUGAAACAUAACAGGACAUAUUUUGACUAUUUGACCUCAAAUCAGGUAGGACUACCCGCUGAACUUAA